CGGGAGGCAGCAGUGGGGAAUAUUGCACAAUGGGCGCAAGCCUGAUGCAGCCAUGCCGCGUGUAUGAAGAAGGCCUUCGGGUUGUAAAGUACUUUCAGCGGGGAGGAAGGUGUUGUCGUUAAUAACCACAGCAAUUGACGUUACCCGCAGAAGAAGCACCGGCUAACUCCGUGCCAGCAGCCGCGGUAAUACGGAGGGUGCAAGCGUUAAUCGGAAUUACUGGGCGUAAAGCGCACGCAGGCGGUCUGUCAAGUC
rnacentral:rRNA from 1 species